rnacentral:tRNA from 2 species
GGCGGAUGUACCCAAGUGGAUAAAGGCAGUGG